UGCCGGAAAUGCCAGCUCCUCCUUGGUGUUCUCCUUUCAGGAUCUGAAUUCAAAUCCCAUUUGGCAGCCCUGAUACCGCUGGGGGAAGGGUAAGGUUUCCCUAUCCCCUAAAGACAUUCAUGGAUGGAUGAGAGGAGCUGACAUCUCCCGCUCUGUGACCACUUUCUCUUUGGCCCUGGAGGAAGUCUUGCCACCCCUGGCUGUGACAUCUGACCCCAGGCCCUUUAAUCAACAACUCCCAGAGCCUCCAGACCCAAGAUGUGUUUUGGAACCCCAGGACAAUCCUGAAGUGGCACCUGCCCUGGUGUGUGCCCUUUGCUGCUGCUUUGGAAUCAUCUACUGCUGCUUCGGUGAGGGCAGGGCCAAGGACCUAGGGGGCCAUUACCCGAGACUGUCACCCUCAAGGAUGAUGCCAACUUUCCUCCUUGCUCCUGAGCCAUCUCGCCUCCCUGCCAGGGGUUCCUACCUCCAGUGUGGCCCAUGUUGCUCUGGCUGUAUUCCUAGGCCUAUGUUGUUGCUCUUGCCAGCUUCUUGUCCAUCCUCCAUGCCCAUGCCUUCUAGCUCUCACUUCUGGCAUCUAUCAUUUGCCCUUCUCUUACCUCCUACCUGAAAACCCCAUUCCUAAAUUAUUCUCUAUGUUUCAGGCUUCUUCACUCUUCCCCAAAAACCUGAAUCAGCUUGUGCUGAUUUUUUCCUAUCUGCUAUCCUUGAAAGGAUAGACCUUCUUUCUAUCCUUACUCCCCUCAAUGUAUCCAUCUUACCUCUUGAUUUUCCCUCCCAUUCCCUCACAGUUCCGGAAACAGUGACCCCCCGACCCUAAGCUACCCCUUUCUGCCCCUGGGCUUGAGGUCUCCUGACAUGCUGCUCCUGUCUUCUGCUCCUCUAGUGAGCCAUUCCUCUCCCCUGGAAUUCAUUAGAGUCAUCCCCAUAGAGCCCCCUUCCUGCCUCUCAAUGCCUCCUGCCUCACUUCCCAGGCUACCGCUGCUUCAAGACAGUGAUAUUUCUCUCCGGUCUGCUGUCAGGAGCUUCCUACUGUGCCACAAGGUGCGGGUGCUGGAGACACAGCUGAGCCUGGAAAUGAGAGUGAGCAUUGCUGUGGUCAUCACCACAGCACUCUCUACAUAGACCACUCCUCUACGGCGUGGUCACCAUGCUGGUUCACUGUGUUGGGCUCUUAUUAACUGGUCUCCUGCUACGCCUGACCUUGGGUGCUGGAGCCCUGCUCUCCACUGAGCCUAUCUACCAACCACCUUCAGCAUGGGUGCCAGCUGGGGGGCCGCGGGGGCCGGCGCUGCUGGGAACCCUGCUCACACUUGGGUGGUCACGUCCAUUCACAGUUCUGGGUACAACCCUGCUGGGUUCUGCAGUGUUUGUGGCCUAUGCUGACUAAUUCCUGGAGGGGCUGGCACUGGGCAGUCGGCUGGGCCAACACCUGUAGACACUUCCACCCUUGUCUUCUCUCUGCUGAUAUAGCUGGGUCUUACUGGGGAUUUGGCCAGCCUUGGGGGCCCUUGGGGCCCUGGCCCAGUGGAAGCUCAUGCCUGGGGAACAUGGAGGCCAUACCAGUGGUGAGUUAGUGCUGUGGUACAGAAGCAAGGUCAUGCCUGAGGAACAUGGAGGCCACACCAAUGAGUUAUUUCCAGAGUCUUCAAGAGUGCCAACUGGGACCAGGACCCCAGGCCACAGCCCCCUACGCUGUCCUGGACCUGGAUUCUGACUGUGGUUCCACUGUACCCCUUAUCUUAAUCUCUGGUUCUAACCAGACCUGAGCCUGGACUUCCACUUUUGCCCUCACCCCUGUGAGGGCCUGGGAGCACUAGGUGGACAGGGUUUGAGCCACAGGACCUGCACAUAAACUUCCCCACCUCUUGGACUUGGGGAUAGGAUCUGUGCCUCAACCCAGACCAGCCUUGUAGGGAUAUGUUCCAAGAAUAGAGAAGAGUCUUAUGGGGAAGGGGGAAGAAGGGAAGUAUGAAUAUUUACCUCUGACCAAUAAUAGAGGUACCCUGGUCCCCGAAGAAACUGACUACCGAAUUCCCUCCAAGCCUUACCCAUAUAGUCUUUUUUUUGUUUUGUUUUGUUUUUGAGACAAGGUCUUGUUCUGUCCAGUGCCGUGGCGUGAUCAUAGCUCAUGACAACCUUGACUUCCCCGGCCCAAGCAAGCCUCUCAUUCAGCCUCCCAAGUGGCUGGGACCACAGGCACCACACACAGCUAAUUUUUAUUCAUUUGUUUUUAUUUUUUUUGUAGAGACAGGGUCUCCCUAUGUUGCCCAAGCUGGUCUUGAACUCCUGGGCUCAAGUGAUCCUCCUGCUUCAGCCUCCCAAAGUGCUAGGAUUAUAGCCACCAUACCUGGUCUUGAAAUAGCCUUUUAAAUAUCCACCUCAGCAUGCCUCACAGUGGUAGAAACAAGCGUUUUUUGUUUUAUAGGAUCAGGGAGCUUCUAAGGCAUUUGAUAGCUUUUUGAUGGGAAGAAGGGCUCUGAGGAGCUCCAAGAUACCCCCACCUCCAGGCACUUCAUUAGGGGGUAGUUGGGUUUGUUUGACCUUCCCCCCGGGCCCCAUAGGCUUAAACCCCCACCUCCUACCUCAGCUAGGAGCACUAUCUUCCAUGGUGCUUCCACUUUUCUCCUCAACCUGGGGAAGACCACAGGGCAGUGCCUGCCUCAGGACCUUCCUUCCCCAAAAGCUGGCUUCUUGCUCCAAGGAGAGAGCAUUGGCCCACCUGCCAGAGUCUUGCCUUUUGCCCAAAGGAGCCUGGUCUUCAGGGCUGCAUAGGAGACAAGUGCUUUCUCUGCUUCUCACUGUGGGUGGCACUAAUUUCCUCCUUAACCAGAACUUUGUUCCAGCCACUAACCCACUCUAACUCUUCCCCCUCUGACUCUCCUGCCCCAGGUCUGUUCCUGGUUUCCCAGAUGCAUAAAGGAAGACAUAUCCCUCCCCUGGGCAGCAAGGCUACAAUGGGAGGGAGGGAGAACAUGGGAGCAUGUGAAUAAAAUGGCAUUAAAUACUGAA